rnacentral:rRNA from 1 species
UACGAAGGGGACUAGCGUUGUUCGGAAUUACUGGGCGUAAAGCGCACGUAGGCGGAUUUGUUAGUCAGGGGUGAAAUCCCGAGGCUCAACCUCGGGCCUGCAGUGGGUACGGGGCAGACUAGAGUGUGGUAGGGGAGACUGGAAUUCCGUGGUGUAGCGGUGGAAUGCGCAGAUAUCAGGAGGAACACCAAUGGCGAAGGCAGGUCUCUGGGCCACAACUGACGCUGAGGCGCGAAAGCUAGGGGAGCGAACGGG